AUUAAUGUCCGUGCUAUACAGCA
rnacentral:siRNA from 1 species